GAUCAGUUGUAAAGACAAAUAAUCUUCUCUUAAGCAUUUAGUAUCUAACCUUUAGUUACAUGGGUAAUUUUACCAUUGGAAUCAGUAUGGAAAUUCACCCUAUUUACGGAGCCUGUUAGUGCUAUUUCACAUUUAGUAAGACAUACCUAUCUGGCAUAAAGUCCCUGGUACAGAAAGAAUUGGGUUGUAAUACUCGGUAGCUUUUUGGGAGUUCGCUUUCCUCGACAGUCUGUCGAAAUUUUGAGUUAGUUGUAACGAAAGAAUAUAAAAAAACAACAACUAUGAACAUCUAAUUUAAUGCAUACCGCUCGAGGAUCAUCUUUAUUUGGGAAAAUAUAUUUUCCUACUAGCUUACGCUCUUCAAAAGGUUUAUCGCCAUGUCCUGGGUUGCGUGAUGGAUUCAUCGUUUUCAAAUAUGUACCAAUACGGGCUAAUUGAAUGGUAAAGAGUCAAUUGAUUAAAGUCUCAGUGUAAAAUUACUAAAUUUGUAAUAAGCGAAUGCUCGACCUACGGAUAUACACUGUUUUGGUAUGGUGCUAUGGGUAAAUACAGUGAGACUAAGUAUCCAUCUAAUAAUGCUUUGCUAAUUAUAUAAAGUACAAGUGAUUAACUUAUUUGCCAGCAGUUACCUCAUGCAACCUUUCCUUUUACUCCAUCUACCAACUGAGAAUAUGUUUGAUUUCACUAAACUACUAUACCUGUUUUCAUUUACUGACUCAGUAUGUUACGCACCAAAGGAUACGAUGCAUCUUACAAAGUAGGUACAGGAACAGGCGAAGCAGGAAAGAUGGUUGAGUAUGGAGUGUAGCAUACACUAUUUAUGAAAAUAUGGCUCUACAUGGUCGAUUCAUGCAGAUGAUAGGAGCCUACCUUAUCGAUAAUGCAAUCUUGGUUUAAACUGUUUCUAGCCGGCGUUAUAAAUGAAUAAUAAACGAGAUUAUGAGAAAUCAAUAUUAUUUCAAGCAUCCAAUCGAAUUUUUUAUUAUGUUUAAAAUAAACUCAAUUGAAUAUUAGUAACGCAAAAAUGCUGACUCCCAUA